GGAGAAAUACUCAAGUGGUUGAAGAGGCUUGCUUGGAAAGUAAGUAGAUCGAAUAGAUGCAAGGGUUCGAAUCCCUUUUUCUCCGCCA
rnacentral:tRNA from 1 species